GACGUAGGGCGCGAGCGUUGUCCGGAUUUAUUGGGCGUAAAGAGCUCGUAGACGGCUUGUCGCGUCGAAUGUGAAAACUCGGGGCUCAACUCCGAGCUUGCAUUCGAUACGGGCAGGCUAGAGUUCGGUAGGGGAGACUGGAAUUCCUGGUGUAGCGGUGAAAUGCGCAGAUAUCAGGAGGAACACCGGUGGCGAAGGCGGGUCUCUGGGCCGAUACUGACGCUGAGGAGCGAAAGCGUGGGGAGCGAACAGG
rnacentral:rRNA from 1 species